UACGUAGGUCCCGAGCGUUGUCCGGAUUUAUUGGGCGUAAAGCGAGCGCAGGUGGUUUAUUAAGUCUGGUGUAAAAGGCAGUGGCUCAACCAUUGUAUGCAUUGGAAACUGGUAGACUCGAGUGCAGGAGAGGAGAGUGGAAUUCCAUGUGUAGCGGUGAAAUGCGUAGAUAUAUGGAGGAACACCGGUGGCGAAAGCGGCUCUCUGGCCUGUAACUGACACUGAGGCUCGAAAGCGUGGGGAGCAAACAGG
rnacentral:rRNA from 1 species